rnacentral:rRNA from 1 species
AUUGAACGCUGGCGGCAUGCUUUACACAUGCAAGUCGAACGGGCUUAGGGGCUUGCUCCUAAGUUAGUGGCGAACGGGUGAGUAAUACAUCGGAACGUACCGUGUAGUGGGGGAUAACGUAGCGAAAGUUACGCUAAUACCGCAUACGAUUUACGGAUGAAAGUGGGGGGACCUUCGGGCCUCACGCUAUACGAGCGGCCGAUGUCUGAUUAGCUAGUUGGUGAGGUAAAGGCUCACCAAGGCAACGAUCAGUAGCGGGUCUGAGAGGAUGAUCCGCCACACUGGGACUGAGACACGGCCCAGACUCCUACGGGAGGCAGCAGUGGGGAAUUUUGGACAAUGGGCGAAAGCCUGAUCCAGCCAUGCCGCGUGUCUGAAGAAGGCCUUCGGGUUGGUAAAGGAACUUUUGUUCAGGGAGCGAAAACUUAAG